rnacentral:rRNA from 1 species
GUAGGUGGCAAGCGUUGUCCGGAAUUAUUGGGGCGUAAAGCGCGCGCAGGCGGUUCUUUAAGUCUGAUGUGAAAGCCCACGGGCUCAACCGUGGAGGGUCAUUGGAAACUGGAGAACUUGAGUACAGAAGAGGAAAGCGGAGUUCCACGUGUAGCGGUGAAAUGCGUAGAGAUGUGGAGGAACACCAGUGGCGAAGGCGGCUUUCUGGUCUGUAACUGACGCUGAGGCGCGAAAGCGUGGGGAGCAAACAGGAUUAGAUACCCUGGUAGUCCACGCCGCAAACGAUGAGUGCUAAGUGUUAGGGGGUUUCCGCCCCUUAGUGCUGCAGCUAACGCAUUAAGCACUCCGCCUGGGGAGUACGGCCGCAAGGCUG